rnacentral:rRNA from 1 species
AGUGAACGCUGGCGGUAGGCCUAACACAUGCAAGUCGAACGGCAGCACAGUAAGAGCUUGCUCUUACGGGUGGCGAGUGGCGGACGGGUGAGGAAUACGUCGGAAUCUACUUUUUCGUGGGGGAUAACGUAGGGAAACUUACGCUAAUACCGCAUACGACCUACGGGUGAAAGCAGGGGAUCUUCGGACCUUGCGCGAUUGUAUGAGCCGAUGUCGGAUUAGCUAGUUGGCGGGGUAAAGGCCCACCAAGGCGACGAUCCGUAGCUGGUCUGAGAGGAUGAUCAGCCACACUGGAACUGAGACACGGUCCAGACUCCUACGGGAGGCAGCAGUGGGGAAUAUUGGACAAUGGGCGCAAGCCUGAUCCAGCCAUACCGCGUGGGUGAAGAAGGCCUUCGGGUUGUAAAGCCCUUUUGUUGGGAAAGAAAAGCAGCAGGUUAAUACCCCGCUGUUCUGACGGUACCCAAAGAAUAAGCACCGGCUAACUUCGUG